rnacentral:lncRNA from 1 species
UUUGACUAUAGCAACUAACAACUAAAACACCAUAUCUGAUAUUGUUUAUUGCGACAUGGUAAACGACGUGAUAAAAAAAAAUCAAUUUGUAAUAGAUAAGUCCUAGGCUUAUGAAUUCCCGUUUCUAUCUAGGUUCAAAUACUAAUUUUAUUUUCAAUCAGUAAAGAACAAAGAUCAAAUGUUCCCAGCCAUGUACAUUACAUUUCAUAUUUUAUCUAUCAAAGGGCAAGGAACAAGGGAAUAACUGAAAAAAAACCACUUUUUUCUUUUUCUUUUUUAUUUUCAAUAUCUUAAGAGAAAUAAAAGCUUCACAGCAAAUGAAAUAGGGUUUUCCAUUACAAUUUAUAUUUCAAAG